AAUUAUACAGCGAAACUGCGAAUGGCUCAUUAAAUCAGUUAUCGUUUAUUUGAUAGUGCCCAUCUACAUGGAUAACCGUGGUAAUUCUAGAGCUAAUACAUGCGUAAAAGCGCGACUUCGGGAGCGCUGUAUUUAUUAGAUUAAAGACCAAUGCCCUCCGGGGCUCACUGGUGAUUCAUGAUAACUCCUCUGAUCGCACGGCCUUGCGCCGGCGACGGCUCAUUCAAAUUUCUGCCCUAUCAACUUUCGACUUUAGUGUAGUGGACUAAAGUGGUUGCAACGGGUAACGGAGGGUUAGGGCUCGACCCCGGAGAAGGAGCCUGAGAAACGGCUACUACAUCCAAGGAAGGCAGCAGGCGCGCAAAUUACCCAAUCCCGACACGGGGAGGUAGUGACAAUAAAUACUGAUACAGGGCUCUUUCGGGUCUUGUAAUCGGAAUGAGUACAAUCUAAAUCCUUUAACGAGGAGCAAUUGGAGGGCAAGUCUGGUGCCAGCAGCCGCGGUAAUUCCAGCUCCAAUAGCGUAUAUUAAAGUUGUUGUGGUUAAAAAGCUCGUAGUUGAACCUGGGCCCCGUCCCGGCCGGUCCGCCUCACCGCGUGCACUGGUUCGGGAGGGGCUUCGCACCUUGGGGGUACGCAUGCCCUUCGCUGGGCGUGCGGGGAACCAGGACUUUUACUGUGAAAAAAUUAGAGUGUUCAAAGCAGGCCUAUGCUCGAAUACAUUAGCAUGGAAUAAUGAAAUAGGACGUGCGGUUCUAUUUUGUUGGUUAUGGGACCGCCGUAAUGAUUAAUAGGGACAGUCGGGGGCGUCAGUAUUCGGUGGUCAGAGGUGAAAUUCUUGGACCCACCGAAGACUAACUACUGCGAAAGCAUUCGCCAAGGAUGUUUUCAUUAAUCAGGAACGAAAGUUAGGGGAUCGAAAACGAUCAGAUACCGUUGUAGUCUUAACCAUAAACUAUGCCGACUAGGGAUCGGGCGAUGUUGCUUACUGACUCGCUCGGCACCUUUCGAGAAAUCAAAGUCUGUGGG
rnacentral:rRNA from 1 species